UCCAGCCCUGGCAACAGAGUAAGACCCUGAUUCUAAAAAAGGAAAAAGGUCACUCUCUACUCAAGUUCUACUUAUAUAACAGCAAUGCAGCUCUCUUCAUAAAGCUGGCUGUUGUGUAGUUUAUGUUGGGGAAUCAGUUCAUGGUUUAAAAAGUUCUGUCAAUGCAGAGAACAAGCCGGUGUGUUUUAUGGAGAGGCUGUUUAAUCUCCACUGUGAGACAGUAAAUAUUUGGCUGUUGCAUCAUCGUGAAGCUUAUGAUCACAGUCUGGCGCCAUCUCCCUCCUUGCCUGGAGUCUGAUCUGUCCCGGCCCAGUGUCCUCCAGGACCCUGGCCCCUCAUGCCUCCGUGCUUGCGCGUGUGCCAUUUCCUCUCUCCAGAGGACCUUUCCUGCCUAGGACUCAUGAUUGUCCCCUCCCUGUUUGCUCCCCUUCCAUGGAGGGCUGUUUCGAGCACAGAUCUGCUGGGUGUCUGUAUUUACAAAGAGAAGGGGCCACUCGUGUGUGAGCAGCACCGAGGGACAGAGGUACCUUGCCUGCUUGUGUCCCCUCCAAGUCCUUCUGAUAUUUUCCUUUCCAGCUGUUGCCUAGUUUCCUGGUAUUAAGGAGAAUCAACUCUCUGGAUAAACGUGGUAAAUAUGGCCCAUAGUCCCAUCUUUUUACAGGCAUUUUUUACACCUGGAGCAGCCAGAGGACGCAUGCAUGGCUCUUCGGAAGCCUUCUCCUGCCACGGCAUGCACCCACACAUGCGAGCCUCCCGGGUACUGUCAUCCUGAAUUCUGAGACCAUCCAGCACUUCCUUUAGUUUUGCCCUGGUGCUGUUGACUUUUGUUUACUGAAGAGUGUGCUGGAGGCAGGACAAGGGACAUGGAAGGCUGCAAUUUAAGAGUCUAAAAGGUUUUAGAAUCCUGAAGGAGGUUUAACAAGCUGAAUUGAAGAAUAAUACCUUUCUCAACUGGAGAGAAUUUACAUGAUUGCAUUAUUGUUAAAAUUAACAUCUCAUCUAUUAAAAGCAUUUGUAGAUUA
rnacentral:lncRNA from 1 species